CCAAAUGGAAACAACACAAAAUGUACAAGUAAUCUAAUUCUUGGGUGAAACAUCAGCUGUUGGAAACAAAACAUCACUGCCAACUUUUGGACAGAAUCAUAUUGUACCAACAGAACCAUUCACUACUUUGGAGGAGAGGCAACUAAUGGAUACAAUACGUUGGAGGAGAGGCAACUAAUGGAUACAAUGGGGCAACCUUUGCACACAAGAUACCGGCAGAAAAGGAAUGAAAU
rnacentral:lncRNA from 1 species